UGAUAAUAUGGGUCAAGAAGUCAUAACUCUGGAGAGACCACUAAGAUGUAGCAGCUGUUGUUGUCCCUGCUGCCUUCAGGAGAUUAAAUCUCUUGAUGAACAGUGUGUGGUUGGCAAAAUUUCCAAGCACUGGACUGGAAUUUUGAGAGAGGCAUUUACAGACGCUGAUAACUUUGGAAUCCAGUUCCCUUUAGACCUUGAUGUUAAAAUGAAAGCUGUAAUGAUUGGUGCCUGUUUCCUCAUUGACUUCAUGUUUUUUGAAAGCACUGGCAGCCAGGAACAAAAAUCAGGAGUGUGGUAGUGGAUUAGUGAAAGUCUCCUCAGGAAAUCUGAAGUCUGUAUAUUGAUUGAGACUAUCUAAACUCAUACCUGUAUGAAUUAAGCUGUAAGGCCUGUAGCUCUGGUUGUAUACUUUUGCUUUUCAAAUUAUAGUUUAUCUUCUGUAUAACUGAUUUAUAAAGGUUUUUGUACAUUUUUUAAUACUCAUUGUCAAUUUGAGAAAAAGGACAUAUGAGUUUUUGCAUUUAUUAAUGAAACUUCCUUUGAAAAAC
rnacentral:lncRNA from 1 species